CGUUGUUUUGGUUGGCUGACUGACUGUGGAUGAUUACCGCGAUUACCAAUUUAAGAAGUUCUGACCGCACGGAAAUCAUAAUUGGCGAAGCUUGGCCGUAAAAUCAUCAUAAUUUUGCAGAUGCUGCUAUGCUGCUUUACUGGUGUCGAUGGAUGAGUGCCCUCCGCUGGGUGGUGGAAUUAUUUUCCUCACUGCUGUCGGACCCUUUGCUGGCUGGCGAACAGCAACGAAAAAGCUUAGGUCGUGUCGAUUACUUGAUUACCGUGAUGGUGAAACUGAUAGAUUGUGUGAUGCAAAGGUGGAACCGGAAAAGGAUGACUGUGAUGACCUUUCAGCGUUGGUUAGAGCAUAAGGUGAGUGCUAUUGGACGAAUGUGUCGAUAUCCGACCAGAGGCUGACUUUCUACCGAUGACCGGUGAUCCGUGUAUCAACCUGUCGACCUUCGACCAGAAGUUGAUACAGGGAGUGUGAUGGACCGAUGAUAGACAUAUCAACCUGUCGACAUUCGACCGGAGGUUGACUUAUGUUCAUGUUCAUUGUGAUGACCAACGUUACGACCGAUGUUAAACUCGUCGAUCUUCGACCAGGGGUGAAUACU